rnacentral:rRNA from 1 species
UACGAAGGGGGCUAGCGUUGCUCGGAAUCACUGGGCGUAAAGCGCACGUAGGCGGGUUCUUAAGUCAGGGGUGAAAUCCUGGAGCUCAACUCCAGAACUGCCUUUGAUACUGGGAAUCUCGAGUCCGGGAGAGGUGAGUGGAACUGCGAGUGUAGAGGUGAAAUUCGUAGAUAUCUGGAGGAAUACCUGUGGCGAAGGCGGCCUUCUGGGCCACUCUUGACACUGAGACUCGAAAGCGUGGGUAGCAAACAGG